UUGAAAUUCCAACUUCAUCAAAAGGGGAAACUGAGGCUCACAGAGAGCAAGCAAUCUGUUGAUCACCUAUCAGGGCUACAUCACCAGUCUCACUGGGGUGAUGGAGUUUCAGGAGGACAGCUCGAACCCUUAUGUGCAGUUUGAAAUCCCCGUCACGACCUAUAGCGAGACCUUCGGCAAAGACAUACGCAAGGAAAGAAAACAGAGGCUCAGAAGGGAAGGCUCCAUUGGGUCUGGGCCUCUGAUGCUGGAGCACAGGCCUGGCAGGGGCUCCUUCUCUCCAGUGGAGACAAACAGACCUGCCCUGGACAUGCUACCACCAGGCAAGGGGCAGAGCCUGGAUGCCGACGAUUCCCGCCAGCAAGAGAGCUGCGGCCUCCAUCCCUGGCUCUCGG